rnacentral:rRNA from 1 species
UACGUAGGGGCAAGCGUUGUCCGGAUUUAUUGGGCGUAAAGAGCGUGUAGGCGGCUUUGCAAGUCCGUUGUGAAAACUCGAGCUCAACCUCGAGACGCCGAUGGAAACCCCCACGCUAGAGUCGGCAAAGAGGAGAGUGGAAUUCCUGGUGUAGCGGUGAAAUGCGCAGAUAUCAGGAAGAACACCCGUGGCUAAGGCGGCUCUCUAGUACGGUACUGACGCUGAGAGCGAAAAGCGUGGGGGAGCGAAACAGG